rnacentral:ncRNA from 2 species
CCGAAGUUUCCCUCAGGAUAGCUGGUGCAUUUAGAAAUUAUGUAAAAUAAUCUUAUCUGGUAAAGCGAAUGAUUAGAGGCCUUAGGGUCGAAACGACCUUACCCUAUUCUCCAACUUUAAAUGGGUAAGAGCCACACCUUUCUUGGUAUGAAGGUGUGGUUGUGAUAUAAUGUGCCGAGUGGGCCACUUUUGGUAAGCAAAACUGGCGCUGUGGGAUGAACCAAACGUAAUGUUACGGUGCCUAUGAAUGCCAAAAACUAGUAUUCGAGCUGUAUAUAUUUUGUCCGUAUCUAGGAACUUUUAUUUAAAAAAUGGAAGAAGUAAG